rnacentral:lncRNA from 1 species
GCCGCGUGGUCUCUCACGCAGGGGCGCCGGGCGGGGGAACGCGGCCACCCUGAGUCUGGUGGAAGAUGGAUGCCUGAAGUGUAGACUGCUGCUAGCUGAAUACCAUCUGGGAGCAUAAAGAUGACCUGAAGGAUGUCCUUGGUGAGGAUUUUGAAAAUUUGAUCUUCACAAGAGUUGCUUGGAUCAUUUGAAAUUUCUGGGAGUCUGAGGAGUACUGACAUAAUUGCCUGCUGGAGUCUGUAAAUACACAUUUAAGACAGUGAGGAUGUGAAUAAAUAUAUUAAUGCACUUU